UGGAUGAGUUGCGAACGGGUGAGUAACGCGUAGGUAACCUGCCUGGUAGCGGGGGAUAACUAUUGGAAACGAUAGCUAAUACCGCAUAAGAGUAGAUGUUGCAUGACAUUUGCUUAAAAGGUGCACUUGCAUCACUACCAGAUGGACCUGCGUAGUAUUAGCUAGUUGGUGGGGUAACGGAUCACCAAAGCGACGAUCCAUAGCCGACCUGAGAGGGUGAUCGGCCAGACUGGGACUGAGACACGGACCAAACUCCUACGGGAGGCAGCAGUAGGGAAUCUUCGGCAAUGGACGGAAGUCUGACCGAGCAACGCCGCGUGAGUCGAAGAAGGUGUUCGGAUCGUCAAGCUCUCUUGUAGGAGAAGAACGAGUGUGAGAGUGGAAAGUUCACACUGUGACGGUAUCUUACCAGAAAGGGACGGCUAACUACGUGCCAGCAGCCGCGGUAAUACGUAGGUCCCGAGCGUUGUCCGGAUUUAUUGGGCGUAAAGCGAGCGCAGGCGGUUAGAUAAGUCUGAAGUUAAAGGCUGUGGCUUAACCAUAGUAGGCUUUGGAAACUGUUUAACUUGAGUGCAAGAGGGGAGAGUGGAAUUCCAUGUGUAGCGGUGAAAUGCGUAGAUA
rnacentral:rRNA from 1 species